rnacentral:rRNA from 1 species
AAGUGACGGCGUACCUUUUGUAUAAUGGGUCAUCGACUUGGUCUAUCCAGCAAGCUUAAGCCGUUAGGUGUAGGCGCAGCGAAAGCGAGUCUUAAUAGGGCGUCGAGUUGGAUGGAUCAGACCCGAAACCGAGUGAUCUAGGCAUGACCAGGAUGAAGGUACGGUAACACGUACUGGAGGUCCGAACCCACACCUGUUGAAAAAGGUCGGGAUGAGUUGUGCCUAGGGGUGAAAGGCCAAUCAAACUCGGAGAUAGCUGGUUCUCCGCGAAAUCUAUUUAGGUAGAGCGUCAUCCGAAUACCCCGGGGGGUAGAGCACUGGAUGGGUAAUGGGGCCCCACAGGCUUACUGAUCCUAACCAAACUCCGAAUACCCGGGAGUACUAGAUGGCAGACACACCGUGGAUGCUAACGUCCAUGGUGGAGAGGGAAACAACCCUGACCUCCAGCUAAGGCCCCCAAUUCAUGGCUAAGUGGGAAAGCAGGUGGGACGACCAAAACAACCAGGAGGUUGGCUUAGAAGCAGCCAUCCUUUAAAGAUAGCGUAACAGCUCACUGGUCUAAACAAGUUGUCCUGCGGCGAAGAUGUAACGGGGCUCAAGCCAUGAGCCGAAGCUGAGGAUGCCGUAAGGCAUGGUAGCGGAGCGUAGUGUGAUACAGCUUCAUGCCUCCUUCACUCCCUUCGGGAGUAUUGGAGGCGAGAAGCUUUCUGUGAAGCCGGGGCGUGAGCCAUCCGGUGGAGAGAUCACUAGCGAGAAUGAUGACAUGAGUAGCGACAAACAGGGUGAGAGACCCUGUCGCCGAAAGUCCAAGGGUUCCUGCUUAAAGCUAAUCUGAGCAGGGUAAGCCGGCCCCUAAGGCGAGGCCGAAAGGCGUAGUCGAUGGGAACCAGUUUAAUAUUACUGGGCCAGGAGGAUGUGACGGAUUGUGGCGGCGUGCGUGCCUUAUCGGAUUGGCGCGUAUCCAAGACAGUCCCUGGAAAUAGCCCUCCAUCAGACCGUACCCCAAACCGACACAGGUGGACUGGUAGAGAAUACCAAGGCGCUUGAGAGAACGAUGUUGAAGGAACUCGGCAAAAUACCUCCGUAAGUUCGCGAGAAGGAGGCCCGGGCCGCGUGGUCCGGGGGCACAAACCAGGGGGUGGCGACUGUUUACUAAAAACACAGGGCUCUGCGAAGUCGCAAGACGACGUAUAGGGUCUGACGCCUGCCCGGUGCCUGAAGGUUAAAAGGAGGGGUGAGAGCUCCGAAUUGAAGCCCAGGUAAACGGCGGCCGUAACUAUAACGGUCCUAAGGUAGCGAAAUUCCUUGUCGGGUAAGUUCCGACCUGCACGAAUGGCGUAACGACUUCCCCGCUGUCUCCAACAUCGACUCAGCGAAAUUGAAUUGCCGGUCAAGAUGCCGGCUACCCGCGGUUAGACGGAAAGACCCCGUGCACCUUCACUACAGCUUCGCACUGGCAUCAGGCACAACAUGUGCAGGAUAGGUGGUAGGCUUCGAAGCAGGGACGCCAGUUCCUGUGGAGCCAUCCUUGAGAUACCACCCUUGUUCUGCUUGAUGUCUAACCGCGGUCCGUUAUCCGGAUCCGGGACCCUGCGUGGCGGGUAGUUUGACUGGGGCGGUCGCCUCCUAAAUCGUAACGGAGGCGCGCGAAGGUUGGCUCAGAGCGGUCGGAAAUCGCUCGUUGAGUGCAAUGGCAGAAGCCAGCCUGACUGCGAGACUGACAAGUCGAGCAGAGACGAAAGUCGGCCAUAGUGAUCCGGUGGUCCCAAGUGGGAGGGCCAUCGCUCAACGGAUAAAAGGUACGCCGGGGAUAACAGGCUGAUACUGCCCAAGAGUCCAUAUCGACGGCAGUGUUUGGCACCUCGAUGUCGGCUCAUCUCAUCCUGGGGCUGGAGCAGGUCCCAAGGGUAUGGCUGUUCGCCAUUUAAAGAGGUACGUGAGCUGGGUUUAGAACGUCGUGAGACAGUUCGGUCCCUAUCUGCCGUGGGUGUAGGAUACUUGAGAGGAGUUGCCCCUAGUACGAGAGGACCGGGGUGAACGAUCCACUGGUGGACCUGUUGUGGCGCCAGCCGCAGUGCAGGGUAGCUAUGAUCGGACGGGAUAACCGCUGAAGGCAUCUAAGCGGGAAGCCCCCCUCAAAACAAGGUAUCCCUGAGGGCCGUGGUAGACCACCACGUCGAUAGGCCGGAGGUGUAAGCGUGGCAACACGUUCAGCUGACCGGUACUAAUGGCCCGACAGGCUUGAUC